rnacentral:RNase_P_RNA from 1 species
UCAGCCGGCCGGACGGCCGCUGCCGUCCUUGCGACGGUGGAGGAAAGUCCGGGCUCCAUGGAGACAGGGUGGCGGCUAACGGCCGCCGGGGGCAACCCCAGGGAAAGUGCCACAGAAAACAGACCGCCCGCCGGGCUUGCCCGGCGCGGUAAGGGUGAAACGGUGCGGUAAGAGCGCACCGCGCGACUGGUAACAGGAGCGGCACGGCAAACCCCACCCGGAGCAAGACCAAAUAGGGGUGGCCACGUGCGGGGAAACCCGGCACGAAGGCGCGUCUUCUCGCCCGUCACCCGGGUUGGUUGCUCGAGGCGCCCAGCAAUGGGCGUCCCAGAUGAAUGGUCGUCCUCGACAGAACCCGGCUUACAGGCCGGCUGACAAA